rnacentral:misc_RNA from 2 species
AACGCACAUUGCGCCCAUUAGUAUUCUAGUGGGCAUGCCUGUUCGAGCGUCAUUAAGUCCACUUAAGCCCUGCUUAGUGUUGGGAACCUACAGAAGCUACCCUGUAGCUACCCUGUAGUUCCUUAAAGACAGCGGCGGAGUUGUAGUACCCUCUGAGCUUAGUAAUUUUUUCUAGCUUUCGAGAUGCUACUGCUUCUGCCGUUAAACACCCUUCUUCUGAAUGGUUGACCUCGGAUCAGGUAGGAAUACCCGCUGAACUUAA